UUCUUGAUGGCCCAUGACCUGACUUGCGGAGGGUUGGACUCCGAGACGAAGCUGCAGAUGUUGUCCCUCUUCACCGUCAUGAUCAGUAUGUCCUCCGGCUUCCCUCCGCGCUCCUCGAAGACGACCAUGAGAUUGUCCUUUGACUUCAAGAAGGAUCGCGGCACGUGAUAGCUGCAGCAUGGGGUACACCAUCUUAGUAACCGUGCGUUCCUUCCAUCGGCAUAAUGGCAUUGGCUGAUUACUUACAUCGAUUGAGAAGGCUUCCCGAGAGGGCUAAGGUAGGAGACCCAGUAGCGACCGAUGCUUUCGCCAUUGACCCACACCUGUCCUUUCCCCAUGGACUUCAAGUCCACAGCAACAGGGUCCUUUCC
rnacentral:lncRNA from 1 species